CGCCCCAUACCAAGCGGUAAGCGUCGGGUUUUGGUUCCGACACGCGUUAGUUCGAAUCUAACUGGGGCGU
rnacentral:tRNA from 2 species